rnacentral:rRNA from 1 species
CAGGGAAUCUUGCACAAUGGGCGAAAGCCUGAUGCAGCGACGCCGCGUGGGGGAUGAAGGCCUUAGGGUCGUAAACCCCUUUCAGCAGGGACGAAAAUGACGGUACCUGCAGAAGAAGCCCCGGCCAACUACGUGCCAGCAGCCGCGGUAAGACGUAGGGGGCGAGCGUUGUCCGGAUUUAUUGGGCGUAAAGAGCUCGUAGGCGGUUGCGUAAGUCGGAUGUGAAAACUCAGGGCUCAACCCUGAGACGCCAUCCGAUACUGCGCUGACUUGAAUCCAGUAGGGGAGUGUGGAAUUCCUGGUGUAGCGGUGAAAUGCGCAGAUAUCAGGAGGAACACCGGUGGCGAAGGCGGGUCUCUGGGCAGUAACUGACGCUGAGGAACGAAAGCGUGGGUAGCGAACAGGAUUAGAUACCCGAGUAGUCCCUGAGCGGGCUGGCAAGGCGCAU